AUCCUCUUAGUGACACUAAAAAUAACCGCCGAUGUUUAAAUUAUCUUUUAUCAGCCUUUAAAAAUAAUUGCUAAAAAUUUUUAUUUACCAAUAAUAAACUUGAUAAAUGACAUAUUUAACAACAAUCUUUUAUAAAUUCUAAUAUAUUUUGUAUUUAGCAAUAUUUAAAUAAAUAUUUCUAUAAAUAAUGCUCUUAUAUGUAAAAAUUUUAGUAAUGGAGGGAUUGUAAGUUUGUUAAUUUUACUCAAGUGUCUAGAGAAUAAAUAAUCGUUUUAUAUAAUUUAACAUAGUAUAAAGGCAUGGAGGAAUUGUAAGUUUGUUAAUUUAUUUUACCCAAGUGUCUGGAGAAUAAACUUUUUUUGGAGUGUUCAUUAAAUUUUUAUUUUCAAUAAUUUUAGGAAGCCAAAGGGCCAUGGGAAUCAUCCUUUUCCCCUUUUUUCCUUUACUUCCUAUCUCUCUACUUGUCUUUUGUGUUGCGUAAUCUUUACCCAUCUCUCUUCCCAAUUUUCCUUACCUAUCUCUCUACUUGUCUUUAAGUUUAGAUCUAUGUCUGACUAUGUUUGAUAAGUUUAGAUUUAUUUUUGACUAUAUUUGAUAAGUUUAGAUUUAUUUCUGGCAAGUUUAUCUCUUAAUGUAAACCGGUUAGCAAUAAUAACUCGUUAGGCCAAAACCACUGGCCUAGAAUACUUAAGCCCAGUUAUUAUGUCUAAUUCAAUCAAACUCUCCCAUCUAGUCAUAAUUAUUCGAUGUGGGAUUAUUAUGAUGUCACAUAUUUAAUUAUUACUAUUAGGAUUUUGAUUUAUAUCUAUAUUACCGUAAAUGUGUGAAAAAUUAAUCCACCACCCUCACCGAAAUUUACUCCAAGAAUAUUUAAUAAAAUUUUUAGUAGAA
rnacentral:lncRNA from 1 species